rnacentral:tRNA from 1 species
UCCCUGGUGGUCUAUGGGUUAGGAUUCAGCACUUCCACUGCUGUGGCUUGGGUACAAUUCCUGGUUUGGGAA